rnacentral:rRNA from 1 species
CCUACGGGUGGCAGCAGUCGAGAAUCAUUCACAAUGGGGGAAACCCUGAUGGUGCGACGCCGCGUGGGGGAAUGCAGGUCUUCGGAUUGUAAACCCCUGUCAUGUGGGAGCAAAUUAAAAAGAUAGUACCACAAGAGGAAGAGCCGGCUAACUCUGUGCCAGCAGCCGCGGUAAUACAGCGGUCUCAAGCGUUGUUCGGAAUUACUGGGCGUAAGGGGUGCGGAGGCGGUUUCGUAAGUCGUGUGUGAAAGGCGCGGGCUCAACCCGAGGACGGCACAUGAUACUGGGAGACUAGAGUAAUGGAGGGGGAAGCGGAAUUCGUGGUGUAGCAGUGAAAUGCGUAGAUAUCGAGAAGAACACUCGUGGCGAAGGCAGGUUCCUGGACAGUAACUGACGCUGAGGCACGAAGGCGAGGGGAGCGAAAGGGAUUAGAUACCCUGGUAGUC